AUUGAACGCUGGCGGCAUGCCUUACACAUGCAAGUCGAACGGUAACGGGCCUUCGGGUGCCGACGAGUGGCGAACGGGUGAGUAAUACAUCGGAACGUGCCCGAUCGUGGGGGAUAACGAGGCGAAAGCUUUGCUAAUACCGCAUACGAUCUACGGAUGAAAGCAGGGGUCCGCAAGGCCUUGCGCGGACGGAGCGGCCGAUGGCAGAUUAGGUAGUUGGCGGGAUAAAAGCUUACCAAGCCGACGAUCUGUAGCUGGUCUGAGAGGAUGAUCAGCCACACUGUGACUGAGACACGGCCCAGACUCUUACGGGAGGCAGCAGUGGGGAAUUUUGGACAAUGGGCGCAAGCCUGAUCCAGCCAUGCCGCGUGCAGGAUGAAGGCCUUCGGGUUGUAAACUGCUUUUGUACGGAACGAAAAGCCUUCUUUUAAUACAGGAGGGUCAUGACGGUACCGUAAGAAUAAGCACCGGCUAACUACGUG
rnacentral:rRNA from 1 species